ensembl:snRNA U6 U6 spliceosomal RNA
GGGCUCACUUCAGCAGCACAUAUACUAAAAUUGGAAUGAUACAAAGAAGAUUAGCAUAGCCCCUGCCCAAGGAUGCCACGCAAAUUUGGAGUUGCCAGAUUUUU